AAUGAACGCUAGAGAUAUGCUUUACACAUGCAAGUUGAAUGAUUCAUAGCGCACGGGUGCGUAAUGUUUGAGAAUUUGCCCGAAGAUCCAAAUAAAUAGUGGAUAAAAAAGAUUAGAUCGUCUUCGGAUAAGCUUAAAUAAGAUUAGGUAGUUGGUAAGGUAAGGGCUUACCAAGCUGUAGAUCUUUAGCUGGGUUUAACGACUGUACAGCCACAUUGGGACUGAGAUAAGGCCCAGACUUCUUGGAAGGCAGCAGUGGGGAAUAUUGGACAAUGGACGAAAGUCUGAUCCUGCAAUAUCUUGUUAAUGAUGAAGGCUAAAAGGUUGUAAAGUUAUUUCGUCAAUGAAGAUAGUGACAUUAGUUGGAGUAAGAAGUUCUGGCAAACCUCUGUGCCAGCAGCCGCGGUAAUACAGAGAGAGCAAGCGUUAUUCGUAAUUAUUAGGCGUAAAGGGUACGUAGAUAUUUUUUGUGAUCUUAUGUGAAAUAUCAAAUAUGAAAUUUGAAACGGCGUAAGCGAUCAGAAGAAUUGAGUAUAGUAGAGGAUAAUGGAAUUGUUGGUGGAAGGGUAAAAUCUGACGAUCUUAUUAGGAACACCAUUAGCGAAGGCAGUUAUCUGGGCUAUUACUGACGUUGAGGUACGAAGGUUUUGGGUAUCAAACGGGAUUAGAGACCCCCCGGUAGUUCCAAGCUGUAAACGAUGAACUAUUAAAUUCUGGCGUAAGUCAGUUUUGUAGUUAACACGUUAAAUAUUCCGCCUGGAGAGUACGGUCGCAAGAUUAAAAUUCAAAGGAAUUGGCGGGGACUUUUGCAAGCGGUGGAGCAUGUUAUUUAAUGCGACAGCACACGCGAAUCUUACCAAUUUUUGUAUAAUUCUUUUUAUAAAGAGUUACAGGAUUGCACGGCUGCUGUCAGUUCGUGUUGCGAAAUGUUAGGUUAAUUCCUUAGAACGAGCGAAACCCCUAUUUAUAUUCUAAAUUAGUAUAUAUAUACUAGUAGAUAAAUAAAGAAGACUUGUGCAGAACAAGAGGAAGCGGGGGAUGACAUCAAGUCCUCAUGGUCCUUAUAAAUUGGGCUAUAGACGUGCUACAAUGAGAAUUACAAAACGAAGACAAAUUUUGUUUAUCUAAUCGUAAAAAAUUCUUUUAGUUCGGAUUAGUUUCUGAAACUCGAAACUAUGAAGUCGGAAUCGCCAGUAAUCGCAAAUGAGAUAUGUUGCGGUGAAAUUGCCAUUUAGUCUUGUACACACUGCCCGUCACGCGCUGGGAGUUUGGGACACUUUAAUAUAUCUUAUUUUCAACCUAAUGUGAUAAUUAUUAGAAGGUAAGAUAUAGUC
rnacentral:rRNA from 1 species